rnacentral:lncRNA from 1 species
GCUUUGCAGAAUGCAGUAUUUUCCCUGUGAUUCAGCCACUGACAUCUGGUAGUUCUGUUUCCUCUUCAAAGCUGUCAAACAUUAUCAGCUGCCUGAAAAAUGUGUUAGGGGGUUUCCCUUUUAUCACCCAAGGUCCUCACAAAAAUGUCAGGACUUAUUUUGUAUGUAUCUGUGAGCAACUGUAGUGUUUCUGUCUGACCUGGACUUUCUUGGCCCACACACUAGCCUCUGCUUGACAUUUCUUUUUGGCUGGCCACUCCUUCACAGUUCUCAUGGAAGAACUAGAAGAACACCAUUUUUGUUUCUUUUUUCUUUUUCUGUUUGUUUUUAGCCAGUAGUCACUGAAGGACCAACUAAGCUUUUGUGCAAAGGCUGAAGAAGCAGGAACCAGAGAUGCACAAACAGGAGAUAAUGCAAGUUCUGAAGUUCUGAAUGAAAAAAAUUAAGUGAUAUUUACUAUUCUACAGCGACUUGUUGAGGUGCUAAGGAAAGCCAUGCGAUGCCACGCCUGGCAACAAACCCACACUGCUUCAACUUCCUGUGAAGAAAGCCCUACCAUGAUCCCCACCCACAUUAUUUAUUUUGAUGACCCAAACAAAUAAGAAAAUGUAGCCAGGAGUGUUUCCUUCCAUAAUUCAAGUAGUACUGGGUUUUAAUACAAAGGAAAGCAAGAUGCUGGGCAAGUUGGUGUGGUUAAAGACCCUGCACAGGAGUUCUCUUGUGGAAAGUAGCAGAAAACCCACUAAUGUUCAGGAGCUCUGGGAUCUAGUCUUGAUUCCGCCAUACAGCAACUUGCUGUGUUACUAUAUGAGCAUUUCAGAUAAUUUCUCUACGUCUUUAUUUUCCCAUUGUCUCAGUUAAUAUCUUGGUUGCAAGAAACAGGUACCAAAUCAAGUUGGUUUAAUCUAGAUACAGAUAAAUAGAAGGAUAGAUAGCUAAUAGUUCUCAACUGGGGGGUGGUUUUAUCACCCCCCCCAUCCACCCCAAGUGGACAUUUUGCUAUGUCUAGAGGUAUUUUUGGUUGUCAUAACUGGGAGGAUUGAUGCUGUCAUCAACUGGGUAAAGUCCAGGGACUACCCUACAAUGCAUAGGAUGGCCCCCAACAAUAAAGAAUUAUCUGGAUCAAAAUAGUGAUGAGAUUGGGAAUCCCUGAUAUCUCUCUCUCUUUCUCUCUCUCUCUCUUUGUAUAUAUACUAUGUAUAUAAUAUUUAUGUGUGUGUAAUUUUUAAAGCAUAGUAUAUUAUUUCACAAAAUCUAGGGAAAUUUGGGGGGUUGGAAAUCAUGGCUCAGGAAGAGUAGAAAUCAAGCACAUUUUGCAGGUUUUGAGUUCUCAACAGAGUUCAAAGGCCUUCCUCUUAGUGCCCUCUGAUUUCCAGGACUCACUUACAAAUGCCCAUUCUCUGUGAACCUCAGACUGAGGAGAAAUGAAAUAGACACAGCUUGAGUCAGCUGUUCAUUCUGCUCUAGUUGGCUAUGUCCAAGGGGGAAUGUUCAAGCCAAAGUUCAAGCCAGUGACCAUCCUUGGAGACUGGGUCAGGAGCCCUUAGAAAGGUGGAGUUGGGAAAACAGCCCUAAGGAGGCCUAUUACAUUUAUCUAUGAGAUAACAAUAAUGCCACUGCUCUUCUGGAGACCUACUAUCAAAUAAAAGGUUGUGGGCCCCAGGGGAACUUGGAAACAGAAAUGGCAGGUGUCUCCUUUAAAUGGCAUUCAUAAUAUUUCUCUUUUUUUUCUAUCUUGAAGAACAGAUUUCAUUUUUUACACUUCUAUAAAACAAAUGGAACCAUGACUUAUGUUCCACAAUUUCCAUAGCUGAUUUCAUGAACUUUAACAAGUUUUCCUUAUUUAUAGCAGUCCCAAGCUUUAUUCCCUUAGAGAUGUCAGGACGUGGAGGGUAAUUUUGCUGCCUGCCCUCUAUGCUUUAAAGACCAAGUGAAUUGAAAGAACAGUAAAUCCCUGCCCCAACACAAUAAGUGAGGUCCAGAAGAAUUUUACGUGGGGUCUAAAAUUCAAUCAACUAUUCGUGGUCGCGUUAUUUUGAAGCUAAUGAAAUGGAUGCCAGGAACCUGCACAGCUUGCCAGUUGGUAGCGCCAACGGAAGCCCAUGCCAAACUUGGCUGAGUUUGCCGCCAUCUAGUGGCCACUCCCAGCGUCAGUUUACACCUCGCAAUGAACAGGAAGCAGGCCUGUGGCUGGCCAGGACCAGCCUUCAGCAGGCCAUUCUAGGAUUUUCCCGGUUAGCUGUCGCUCUUGGAUUGGUCCAGACCAGGAAGACUAAUUAUUACAGGAUUACUUAAUGAGGAGAUUUUCUGUACUUGGAAACAUAAAGCAAUGGUUUUAACCUUUGUGAGAUUACAGGCCCCUUUGAGAAUCUGCCUAUAUGCAUAUAAUUUUUCACACAAUUUCUAGAGGGUUUUGGGCUUACUGAAGCUAAUCCAUGGACACAAAGGGAAAGACACUGAAUAUAAACCUGAUACAGAUGUUAGCUGGGUGUAAUUGUAAGCCAUUCUGAAGUCGUUUGGAACAGAAAGGGAAAAUGGCAAUGGCAGGUGUGCGAAUAGGAGGAAAUCUACUGCUAACUGGAGGAUAGUAAGAGUCUUAACUGUCCUCUAAAAUGUGCCAAAUGCCCGUGGCUCUUUAGUUGUAUUUAUACAUGCUAUGUAUCUCCACCUUAGCUUUCCACCCUUAAAAUUGGUUCCUUGUUUUACAUGCCUGAGUUUUUCCUGGCCCUUCCUAUUCUCCUCUGGUUUCUAUCCAAAGUCUCUAGUGGACCAACAAUAGGUUUGGGUUGGGAGUCAGAAUACUGCCUGGGAUUAGGCCAGCACCCCCCAUUGGCUGGGUGAGUGAGCAAGUCCUGCACCCUCCCUGGGCUCAGCGUGAGGAUGAGCAUCCUUUAACCCCUCUUAGGAUGGAAUGAGACACUGUGUACAAGUGAAAGACAUUGAAAGAGUCAGAAAUGGUAGACAAUUUUUGGAGUCUGCAAUGUUAUUCCAAAAACAAGUCCUUCUAGGAUACUCCACAGGUAAUUCGUGCUUAAAGCGGGUGAAAUAAAUGUCAGCUGGACUUGCUGGGAGAGAAAGGAUGUAUUGUCCUAUUUUCCAGGGGUCUGUUGACAAGUGGCAUUAAUAACUAUUAUUAGUGCCUCCUCCUCACUACUCACAUUAUAAGCAAAAAGCUUUCACCUUUGGUUUCAGUAACCCCUUAACACGUCACUUCUGACACUAAUUCCCUGUGUGAGCAGGAUCUGGGGCCGGCCCGGCCUCCACCCUCUUCUGUGCAGCCCUGACAUCUGCAGAAUCACAGACAGUCCGGUCUGCAGGGAACCUCAGAGAAGAAGGAAUGCCUUUAACUAAUUCAGGGCACUCAAACCACAACACACACACACAGACGCCUCUCACAGUGGAGGUACACAUUUUCCAAAAAUUAAAAAGUGCUCGGCCCGGU